rnacentral:sRNA from 12 species
CGCACAUGUGGACGGGAGUACAGACGCCAGCGCAUGCGCGAUAUAUGUCGAACUGGGGGAAAGUCCUGAAACAUCGAUGAGGGGUGGCGAAGCUAGCGCCCUUGGACGAACGGCUGGCGGGU